GGGCCGUUAGCUCAGUUGGUAGAGCAGGUGACUCUUAAUCACAAGGUCAUAGGUUCAAAUCCUAUACGGCCCACCA
rnacentral:tRNA from 1 species